GACGAACGCUGGCGGCGUGCCUAAUACAUGCAAGUAGAACGCUGAAGGAGGAGCUUGCUUCUCUGGAUGAGUUGCGAACGGGUGAGUAACGCGUAGGUAACCUGCCUGGUAGCGGGGGAUAACUAUUGGAAACGAUAGCUAAUACCGCAUAAGAGUAGAUGUUGCAUGACAUUUGCUUAAAAGGUGCAAUUGCAUCACUACCAGAUGGACCUGCGUUGUAUUAGCUAGUUGGUGGGGUAACGGCUCACCAAGGCGACGAUACAUAGCCGACCUGAGAGGGUGAUCGGCCACACUGGGACUGAGACACGGCCCAGACUCCUACGGGAUGAAGCAGUAGGGAAUCUUCGGCAAUGGACGGAAGUCUGACCGAGCAACGCCGCGUGAGUGAAGAAGGUUUUCGGAUCGUAAAGCUCUGUUGUAAGAGAAGAACGAGUGUGAGAGUGGAAAGUUCACACUGUGACGGUAUCUUACCAGAAAGGGACGGCUAACUACGUG
rnacentral:rRNA from 1 species